rnacentral:lncRNA from 1 species
GUAACAUUUAUUAAAUUUUGGAAGGCUUGGAUACGUUUAAUAAUUUUAUAACUCCAGUAGCUAAUAAACUGGGUCUUAUUAUACCUACCUUGCAUUACAAACAAUAUGGACUUUAAUCUAAAAGAAAUAAACCUUCUAAUUUCAGUGUCCUGCAGAAACUUCACAAAAAAUGUGACGGAAUGCUGUAAACAUGGAAGUGACCUUGGAUGUGUGUUUGUUAAGUGUACUGGAAAAGACAAGGCACCAUUCGAUGG